UACGGGGGGGGCAAGCGUUGUUCGGAAUUACUGGGCGUAAAGGGCUCGUAGGUGGCCAACUAAGUCAGACGUGAAAUCCCCAGGCUCAACUUGGGAACUGCGUCUGAUACUGGAUGGCUUGAAUUCGGGAGAGGGAUGCAGAAUUCCAGGUGUAGCGGUGAAAUGCGUAGAUAUCAGGAGGAACACCAGUGGCGAAGGCGGCUUUCUGGACGGUAACUGACGCUGAGACGCGAAAGCGUGGGGAGCAAACAGG
rnacentral:rRNA from 1 species